AAUACCUAAAUAGUUCAUCUCCACUAACCUAUUUCCCUUGACAUGCAGGCUAUCCACAUCAGCACCAUUGCCCCGUCAGCGUUUAACUAGAGGCUUACAAGCAGGACCCAUCAUACCAAAAAACGAACACGUUGGCUUCAGUUACUACACACGUCGGCUUCAGUUACUGUUCAUAGGCCCAGCCAGAGAAGCUCACGAUGGACGUAAUCGCAGCCCAGCCCGGCCAUCGGCUUCCACUUCCUCUUUUUUCCUGCGAGAAUGCCCCCGUCUCCACCGCUUUCCUCCGUGACUCCCUCGCCUGUUUUCCGGUCCCUCGUCUCCAUCGGUUUCCCCUGUCCACCGCGGUGCGCCGCCAGCACGGGAUCCCGAUGGACCGGCUCUCCCCCCGCGCACGGCACACUCUGCCUCGCCGCCUACCCAAGAUCCACGCUGCUCUCUCCCUCUCCGCCACGCCUCACUCCCAAGCCAGCACCUCCCUUCCUCCCGAUGCACAACAGUCCUUCCGUGGCGGCCACCUCCUUCCUCCUCUCCCCUUUAACCUCCUCCAUACUUACGGUGUCUGUCACGGCUACUUCACAAUGUAGCAGCGGCCGGUGGUGUCGUCGUUGGGGAUCGAUGUCGAGCUGCUCAGCCAUGGACUCGCUGCUGCCCAUCCCAACUUAGCGCCGGCGUCAGCAAGCACCUCCUCCCUUGGAUGCCGUCCCGGCUAAUUCAGCCCAGAUGUAUGCACUUUCCUCUUGGUUACUGAUUUGCUGACAACGACAUCGAGCUCCCGACUACGGCCACGCUAUAUGUCGACUUGAAGCUAUUGUACUCUGUUCGUAAGAUGAAUAUUUCUCUUUUCUUAUAAUCCUACAUAUAUUCUUAUGAAAAGGGCCAUAGCAACCUUACACAGCCUACUGCUGCAUCCUCUCUACAGCCCAUUGCUUCCACCGGCCCACCCUGUGUAUCUUCCCUGGUCACAAUGGAUAGCGAACAGCCAGCAGACUAAUUGAUGUCGGACGCUCCCUCUCCUAAUACUAAUGUUCUAGCCGCUCCACUUCCCCUCCCCACCAUCUCCAGAAGAAACUGAUGGAUUGCUCUUUAAAGUCUGCCUGGCCUCACCUCAUUUCCUUCCCAUCGGGUCUGUACCACAUCACUCAUACCACCUCCGAUACUGUGUGCUCAACGAUGCCCAAGUAGUCAUCUUCAUUGGGUUUCCCUCACUGCAAACACAGUCACAUUUGGUUUCUGCCUCCUAAAGGUACAUAAUAUUCCCAAAUUCUCCUCGGUUGCUACUUCUGUAAAUUUCUUUGCUCAAUAUCAAUCUCAUAUAAUUUUGCUAAGUUCAAUAUAUAAUGGUGCACUCUAAUUCUCUAUACGAAACAGUUGAGCACACACAACACAUUGCAUUGCGCUCGUAUUCUGUUGGUACGUUUUACAUUCUUGGCCCCUUCAUCCAAUUCCACUUCCUUGGGGUUAUUAGGCAUCCUGACAUGGAUAAUGCAGAAAGUUCUUCACGUUAUCCAACUGGGCAUGGGGUUGGUCAUCCACAAGAAGUUUCACGUGGACGUGGACUGCCACGUCGUACGUCAUUACCCGAUCCUUCUCCUCGAGCAAGUCCAUAUGUUGCUGCCGAUAACCGUCGCACACGUAUGGCUAGAAACAGGAACAGAGGUCUGGAGCAAAAAGAAGAAUAGACUUUACCAAGGAUGAUGCCACCAAAUCUAUCAGAUCAAAGAAACAUGAACAUAGUCCUUCCAAAGAAUACAAGAAAGACAAAACAGACAACAAAUAUCAAACAACCAAUGAUGGACAGCAGGAGUAAGCCAAACAUGCAUACCAAAUAGAUGUUAACAUAUGGACGAGACAAUCAAACACGAAGGGUCUUACUAUUCAUGGUAGAUGUUAACAUGUGGAGGAGACAAUCAUACAUGAAGGAUCUUCAUUAUUGGAUAAUGCUUGAAUGCACCGAGUUUCUCUUUGUCUUUUCUCCUUUCGCCCUUUGGAAUCACCAGAGUACCCAUUCCUCGACGUGUAUGAGUGUACGAGGGUACUUUUAGUCAUAAAUCUAUAAAUACCAAACUGGGUUCGUAUUACAUUUUGAAUGUUAACAUGAGGAUAUCUAUUAUAAUGUCAUCUCUGUUUUUUCUUGCUA